UUAGUGUCGAAUAGAGCGGACUGACGCACUAAUGCGUCCCUGCGAGAUCUUAUCAGCGCGUGCGACAUCCAGUGAGGUCAGCACAACCUGCAAACGUGGUACCGGCAGACACGCACGUGGAUAUAUUCGGCGGUAUCGGUUCGACGUGGCUAGCCGUAGCGUAGACAUGAACGAUCGGUCGCGUGGGAGAGAAAAUAGGUGUAGUCGAGCCAGCUAGUGACUGGUAGAGUCAGCUCGACGUAGACGUCCACAUGAUCAUCAUGCGGAUUCGACUCGAACGUAUAUGGUGACAUGCGUGUAGUUUAAUUAGACUUUGAUUAAUUCAAUAGUCCACGCCCCUCUCUUGUUAGCUGUGCUACCGAAGACGAAAGAGCAGGUGGCAACCUCGAGGCCGCAGCUGGGGCUGGUGGAAGGAGCCCUUCUUCCACUUCUUCGUCCGGCCACGCAACUUGAUGAUGGUACCACCGUUGUUCUAGUUGUUAUCCCACCAGUCCCGGUACCGCCGGUUUUUCCUUGAACUGCUCCCGUUCGUCUGGCUACGGCUAGCCACCUUCCCAGAGCGAAUGCUGUAGAGGCUACUGGUCGUCCUGUAGUGCUCCCCCUUUCCGUAGCACCUGAGGGACAAGGUCCGGGGGUACCCGCUGCCGUGGGUGCUCCGGUAGGACUCGAGGAUGCUCAUGUAGUCGGUCCCGGACGCGUUCAUGCUGAAGCUGUUGUGGUACCUGCCCGACAUGUAGCGGGGCCGCAAGUACCUGUUCGAGUAGCAGGUGGAGCGGUUCUUGAAGUACUGUGAGGGGUUGUAGUUCCAGGGAGAGUAGGACCCAUAGACCCCUCCGUUCCCUGUCCCGUUCAGCAAGGUCACGCUCGACCACAAGCGGUUCUACCCGUAGUUGGGGUAGUACUACUCGCGGCCUCUCGACCUCUCGCCGUUGCGGCCGCUCGGCCGGUUCGACUAGGCCGUCUCCAUGGCGCUCCGACGGCUGUAAUAGUUCUUCCCGUUCUACACGACGGAGAAGUAGUUGCUGGACCUGCGGCCGCGCCCCGCCUACCCGCCCUGCUGCGUCAUGUGCCACUUGUUGGUCUACCACUUGCGGUGGGACUACUUGUAGCGCCUGCGCGGGUGGUUGCACGUCGAGGGCCCCUACAUGUUGUUCCUCCUCUUGGGUGCGCACGGGUAGUAGCAGUGGCCGUUGCUGAAGAGCUGCGACAUGCGCGGGGAGUAGGCCCUGCCGGCGUACCUCUUCAAGAUGACCCGCGGGUGGGCCCUCCUGGCGUAGCCGCACACGUUCCCGUAGAAGGCGUGGCUGUUGCAGGGGCUGCUCCGGCACCACUCCGACCACCUGUGGAAGGGCCCCGUCAGGUAGCUGAAGAAGCCGCGCGACGCCCGCGCCCACAUGCUGCUGCUCCACGCGUUCACCCAGCCGCUCUAGCCGCAGCUCUUGUAGAGGUUCGCCGAGCAGUUGAGGUCCCUCCCCGGCGGCUGCAAGCUGGUCGGGUUCUACUGGUAGCUCUUCGAGUACCUCAUGCCGGUGUACGACCAGGUCCUCGUCCUCUUGCACUUCGCGCACGUCGAGCGGCUGUUCAUGGAGUCGCUCCGCCGCGAGCCGGUUCGGUUGCUGCUGCGGUACCGCUGGCCGCGGAAGAUGCCGUUCAUCUUUCAGGAUAUGAAUUCUACGUACGCACGUACGUACGUGAUAUAUAUACGACCUUAUAAAACCUGAGCUUAGGUGAGUUUGAAAAACUAAGUAGCGGCGUGUCCAUCGGGUUAACAUUCAGAGAAGAACUUUCUCUUAGGUUAACAUAUACAAAAGCAUAACGGAUAUAUAUGGACUUAGCAGUAAAAGGCGAAUUAGUGAGAUUAUUACCUACGUUCGAUCCCAGGGUUGUUGGAUAGAGUAUAAUCGUGAACAACCUUCUAAUCGUCUAUCGACCUUU
rnacentral:rRNA from 1 species